rnacentral:rRNA from 1 species
UUGAAGAGUUUGAUCAUGGCUCAGAUUGAACGCUGGCGGCAGGCCUAACACAUGCAAGUCGAACGGUAACAGGAAGCAGCUUGCUGCUUCGCUGACGAGUGGCGGACGGGUGAGUAAUGUCUGGGAAACUGCCUGAUGGAGGGGGAUAACUACUGGAAACGGUGGCUAAUACCGCAUAACGUCGCAAGACCAAAGAGGGGGACCUUCGGGCCUCUUGCCAUCAGAUGUGCCCAGAUGGGAUUAGCUUGUUGGUGAGGUAACGGCUCACCAAGGCGACGAUCCCUAGCUGGUCUGAGAGGAUGACCAGCCACACUGGAACUGAGACACGGUCCAGACUCCUACGGGAGGCAGCAGUGGGGAAUAUUGCACAAUGGGCGCAAGCCUGAUGCAGCCAUGCCGCGUGUAUGAAGAAGGCCUUCGGGUUGUAAAGUACUUUCAGCGGGGAGGAAGGUGUUGUGGUUAAUAACCGCAGCAAUUGACGUUACCCGCAGAAGAAGCACCGGCUAACUCCGUGCCAGCAGCCGCGGUAAUACGGAGGGUGCAAGCGUUAAUCGGAAUUACUGGGCGUAAAGCGCACGCAGGCGGUCUGUCAAGUCGGAUGUGAAAUCCCCGGGCUCAACCUGGGAACUGCAUUCGAAACUGGCAGGCUUGAGUCUUGUAGAGGGGGGUAGAAUUCCAGGUGUAGCGGUGAAAUGCGUAGAGAUCUGGAGGAAUACCGGUGGCGAAGGCGGCCCCCUGGACAAAGACUGACGCUCAGGUGCGAAAGCGUGGGGAGCAAACAGGAUUAGAUACCCUGGUAGUCCACGCCGUAAACGAUGUCUACUUGGAGGUUGUGCCCUUGAGGCGUGGCUUCCGGAGCUAACGCGUUAAGUAGACCGCCUGGGGAGUACGGCCGCAAGGUUAAAACUCAAAUGAAUUGACGGGGGCCCGCACAAGCGGUGGAGCAUGUGGUUUAAUUCGAUGCAACGCGAAGAACCUUACCUGGUCUUGACAUCCACAGAAGAAUCCAGAGAUGGAUUUGUGCCUUCGGGAACUGUGAGACAGGUGCUGCAUGGCUGUCGUCAGCUCGUGUUGUGAAAUGUUGGGUUAAGUCCCGCAACGAGCGCAACCCUUAUCCUUUGUUGCCAGCGGUUAGGCCGGGAACUCAAAGGAGACUGCCAGUGAUAAACUGGAGGAAGGUGGGGAUGACGUCAAGUCAUCAUGGCCCUUACGACCAGGGCUACACACGUGCUACAAUGGCGCAUACAAAGAGAAGCGACCUCGCGAGAGCAAGCGGACCUCAUAAAGUGCGUCGUAGUCCGGAUUGGAGUCUGCAACUCGACUCCAUGAAGUCGGAAUCGCUAGUAAUCGUGGAUCAGAAUGCCACGGUGAAUACGUUCCCGGGCCUUGUACACACCGCCCGUCACACCAUGGGAGUGGGUUGCAAAAGAAGUAGGUAGCUUAACCUUCGGGAGGGCGCUUACCACUUUGUGAUUCAUGACUGGGGUGAAGUCGUAACAAGGUAACCGUAGGGGAACCUGCGGUUGGAUCACCUCCUU